CGCCGCAACUCUUCCUCAUCCUCCUCGCCUGUCCCAUGCGUCCACGCCGCGAUCCAUCCAAGCCAUCCCUCUCCUGGAUCCUCCUCCUCUCCAAUCUUUUUAUAUUUGUGCCCUAAGAUGCAAUCCAUGCAUGUUGGACCUUGAGAAGGUAAGUUGCAGCCGCUCCUCAACCGAACUUUUCUCCUUCAUCGUGUUCCUGAUCUGAUGUUGCAAUCAUGACUCACCACCAAUCGAUGCCUCACCUCAAGCCUAUGGUGUCACGUCCCCAUGAUCUCUCCCAUCGGUUCCCAUCUGGUCUCUGCUAGGUUGCCAUCCCCUGCAAAGUUUUCUGUCCAAGAUCUUGACGUUUGUUUCCUCCCAGACUCCUCUCCAUAGAAGGGCAAAGAGGGCAGGACCUUGUUAGGAAUGCCGUCCUAGUGGGCACAAGGUCGGACAUGAAGCUAUCGGGAACACCGAGUCAUCCCCUGUUAGCUUGGAGGAUGGUGCUAUGGGCGACCACGUUGGCAAUGGCAACACUGGAGGCAACAAUGAUGAAAAUUGGUGAAAGAAAUGCUUGCCAUCAUUUAAUAUACCAUGGAGUAUAAUUUCCACGUGCCAUACUCAAGACUUCUCUGUCAUAUAUGAGGUUAUUACCAAAAAAAUUAUUACUGCAGUUCACAACAGAUCUCAUACGACUUUGUCUGCUGCAAGCUCCAUUUGCUGCCGAUGGCAAAACUGGUAACAAAAAUAGAUUUACUUGGCGGCUUUUUUAUGAUUGUAGAUCACUUUGUCUGCUGCAAAGAAAAACUCAAUUUGCUGCUGAGGACAAACUGACAACAUAUUUAUUUACUUGGUCCGAAGAAAUCGAUCAUUGCAGCAGGUUACAUGUACGUGGUGAUCAGCUUUUGUCUUAUCUGGCCUGAAUAGAUAUUAUUGUAAAAAACUAACUGAUAUAAAACAAUGGACAGGA